GGAUAGUUGCCGGAAUGGUCAACGGGCCUGCUUGGAAAGCAGGAGUUGCGCAAGCGACAUGUGGGUUCGAGCCCCAUGCUAUCCGCCA
rnacentral:tRNA from 3 species